rnacentral:rRNA from 1 species
GAUGAACGCUGGCGGCGUGCCUAAUACAUGCAAGUCGAGCGAACAGAUGAGGAGCUUGCUCCUCUGACGUUAGCGGCGGACGGGUGAGUAACACGUGGAUAACCUACCUAUAAGACUGGGAUAACUUCGGGAAACCGGAGCUAAUACCGGAUAAUAUAUUGAACCGCAUGGUUCAAUAGUGGAAGACGGUUUUGCUGUCACUUAUAGAUGGAUCCGCGCCGCAUUAGCUAGUUGGUAAGGUAACGGCUUACCAAGGCAACGAUGCGUAGCCGACCUGAGAGGGUGAUCGGCCACACUGGAACUGAGACACGGUCCAGACUCCUACGGGAGGCAGCAGUAGGGAAUCUUCCGCAAUGGGCGAAAGCCUGACGGAGCAACGCCGCGUGAGUGAUGAAGGUCUUCGGAUCGUAAAACUCUGUUAUUAGGGAAGAACAAAUGUGUAAGUAACUAUGCACGUCUUGACGGCACCUAAUCAGAAAGCCACGGCUAACUACGUG